GAAAAUACAACAAAUAAUCUAAACCUAUGCUCUACAUAUAGAGCAACUCCUAAAUCAACAAAAGGACACACAAAAAACACAACAGAGGAAGACCUAAGAAUUAGAAGGAUACACUCUGCAAAAAGCUAAACACCGCAAAAACAGUACCACCCCCGAUUUCGUCUUCUCCAAACGACCCACCUCCUAAAGUUCAUCUCUCUCAACAGACCCCACCCCAAAAACGACCCCUGAGCUUUAAUAACAAUAGUCACCGAACCCCACGGCUUCACCUUCAUCGGAAACCAGACGCACGACGCCACUAGCCGUGACUCGCCUCAACGCCCAGCGACCUCCUGCCUCCGCCAUCUCCAUAUCCCAAAACCUUCAUCACCCUCACAAACACGCACACACAGAAGCAUAGACGGACAAAAGGGGAGGGGAAGGACUAACUUGGCUACUACAAUGAGAAAACAUACAAUAUGUUUCAGUUUAUUUCGUUCAGUUUAAUUUUGAAGAAGGAAUUGCGACAGAAACAAAGAUAAUCGUUUUGCUUGUCGGAGUUCACUGUCUAAGCUCGUUUGUACCUGAAUCCGUGCUCGUUUGAGUUUUCCGAUGCCGAUUUGUGAUCCCUGUCUAGUUUUCUGCUUCCUGAUGCGGAUUUGAAUUCUGGUCGAGGUCGCCGGUGUAGUUCCCUAUCCGUUCAGUUGGUUCCAGCUUCAUUUUUCUGUCCGUGUUUCAACUUGUUUGAUUUUUUUAUCUAAAAACAGUGCAUAUGUUUGAUUUGUUUAAUUGGUUUUCUCCUAUUUUACUGUUGUUUAUCAAAUUAUAGAAUUGUGUUGUUUCUAUGAUGGUCCAAAGAUUAUUGAGAACUUGUUAGUUCUCAAUCUGUUUUCCCUUAAGUUUAGCAUCUUAUUGCUAUUGUGUAGUGUAGUAUAUCUAUAUAUGUGAAUGAUAAUCUUUUAUUAGCCUUUUUCC
rnacentral:lncRNA from 1 species